rnacentral:misc_RNA from 1 species
UGUGGGCAGGUUGUCUACUCCUACAGAGUACAGUUCAUUUUGUGGCUUAAACCAGGAUUGGAAACGAGUGUCGCCUUUGUAGUAUUUGUGCGAAAUUAUUUUUCAUAGCGGGGAGAUCCUUGGAAAAGAAAACAGAAGGGAGUUGCUACAACUCUGUGAUUCACUAUGGCGACGGUAGUGUACGCAGAUCUGAACACUAUACAAGAUGAAGAUAUUCUUCGAAGAAUGUGGGCGAACACAGAAGAUUUUGGGAGAAAGAAAGAAAUUAGAGCCCGCAUGUAUAAAUUAAGAGAACAACGAUUGAAGGACUUUUACACGACCGGAGAUGUAUCUGAUAUGAACAGGAAGCACCAACAGCUGCCGAGGCACGCAGAGUCCCUGGAGGAUCAAGGGUUCAUGACAAUGAAGAGCAAAGAGAUCAGGGAUUCCGAAUCGCCAACGAGAGACAUGAGCCGACGUAAAGGCAACGGAUACUGGGAUUCGAGACAAGAGACCGUCUACGGUAGAGGAAAAGAAGAAGACGCCAACAUCGAAGUGAAGUACGUGAGCACGGAAGGUCGGGGCGUUGUGAAAGAAGCCGAUAUGGAGAAAAAAGUGGCCUACCAGACGGAAUCGGCCCAAGAAUCGACCUGGAAGCAAGACAAUAACAGUUUUAUGAAGGCCGAGACUCAGAAAGAAAUGUCCCAGUCCGCAUCCGUUGCAAAAAGCGACAACACAGAAGAACGGACUUUCGCGCAAAACGAAGAGUUCUCAAAUUUUAAAACUAUGACUGAACAGAAUGAAAGUAUGUCGUCUGUGUCGAAUGUCAGUGCCUCUACAUCUUCCAGGCAGGUGACGUCCAGUUCUUACCGGACCACGUCCGAUAAUAACCAAGACGGCAAAGUCGUCGUGAUCGAAGAUUUCGGGACGAACGCUCGUCCCCUCGUCGAACUCACUUCUGAUUCUAUGAGAGAUUUCAUAGACGACGAUGUGCAAACGGAAAGCUGCACGAAUCAACAUAAACGAGAAACCACAUCUAAAACUUCUACUACAAAUCAGAGCUUAAAGCAGGUGUUUUCCACUCAAACUCUGGACGACUCUGUACAAUUGGACCUAACGAAUUUUCGAGUAAGAGGCGAAGAUGUGGACGUUGGAGAAAACGUGAAAGUUACGGAGUAUCGUACCAUUACGGAUAACCAAAGCAGAAAGGAAGAUCAAACAAACGAACAAUUAUAUAGAAAUUACGAGGUUGAGAAAUCUCAAGACAGAUCUUUAGAACAGACCGUCGACAUUUCAACUCUUAGAGAUUCCUCGAAAAAGGAAGAGGAUCGAUCAGCAAGGAGCGAUGAUUUCUUAACUGCCGAACAGAUCCAACGGAAGACGUCCCGUACGGGCAGUUCGACGAGACACGAAACGAUUGUAAACGAGAAAGCGGCUACUGAACAGAAAAUACUGAACGAAAUUCAAAAAUUGGAUAGUUAUCUCUCAACGCAUACACCGGCACCAUCGACUCCGGCGAGCCCUCCUUGCGAACCCGAUGGUGGGUGGACUCUCGUCUCUGACAAAGGCGGUGAAUUCGUUUAUCACGAGAGGAGCGAACCCGAUGGAAAGAAGUCCGCAGUUCCAAGUCACGCGGCCGGAAAGAAAACAACACCACCUUCUUCGAUGGACUUGCCUACGAGCGCUACGGACGGACAGUACAUGACCACGUACCAACAGUCGUACAAUAAAAUUUCCGUCGAUCAUACUCCUUCGCACGAAUUUUUUGUAAAGACAUUGAGGUCCAGCCCAGAGAGAUCUACCCCGUCUCCGACAAAGCGAGAUUACACUUCUUCGAGCAGUAGAAGUUCGCCCGAACGUAGAAAGUUGAGCAACUCUAAAAGCUCUUUGGAAAAGAACACCCCAGACCACAGAAGAAGGGCCGAUACUAAGUCGCCCGAGUAUUACGAAAAGAAACAAAGGAGUUCACCUUCUAAAUCUCCAGUUCAAAAAAAGAAACAGACCACUCAUCACAAUGAAUCAGCGACCAGUGCGAGGAAACAUUCAGAAACAAGAAUUACCACUAAAGAAACCAAAUCAAAGAGGAAAUUUUCUUCUACCAAGGAAAGGGCUGCAAAUCGAAACAGAGUGGCUACCCCAGGCGCAUCUCCUUCGACGAGUCCUGUACAUAAGAAAACGGGCAAAGAGACAUCCGACAGCGAUUCUGAUGCAUCGCAAGCAACAUAUGACUGUACAAAGAAAUCGGAAGUCAUAACCGAAUCUAGGACGAAUAUGACCACGAUUAGAAAAAAAGAUAAGAAAGAACAAUCACCGGAAUUUUCUUCCGAAGGAUCCAUCACAAGGGAACUGAAGAAAAAAAAACAGACCACCCCGGAACCCAGCGCGUUCGCUCCGAUAAAACAAUUCAAAACCACUCCGCAAGACUUGACGCGGACUGAUAAAGACCAAUUAAAACAUAUAAAAUCGAAUAAAUUGACAGUCGAAAAUGUAAGAAAACACAAGGAAAACGAUUAUUUGCCGACAGGGAGAACUGAAAAUUUCGUGAAUGAGGAACGUGAUGAAACGAAACUUGUUCGACAUGAAAAUAAAAAUGUUCGUACAACAAAAGGGACUGUUAACACAGUUCAUGAUAUCUGUGAAAUGAAAGACAAUGUUUUGAGACAGAGAGAUGUGCAAAGGGAUAUUGCUAAGGAUGAUACAGAUACCAAAACUGUUGAAGAACUUACAUUUGAAAAACAAGCAACUUCCAAAACAUCAGGUGUUGUCACUGCGCCCUCCGAAACGUUAGAUAAUGAAGAAAAACGGGAAAUAUCCAUUGAAAGCACUAAUCUAAAAUCGCCCGAGAAAAAGGAAAGCGACGAUUUUGAUCCCUCAGUGGCGAAGAUGUAUAAAGCUCCUUUUGCUAGACCAGAAGAUCAGAAUCCUGAAAAAAGCUUUGUCCGUCAGCCUUCUGCAACGACCCCCGAACGUCAUCAGCCUGGCACAGAUAGACUACAUCAUGAAAGGAGCCCAGACCGUAAGCAACCUGGCACUGACCAUCAACACCCUGAAAGAAGCCCUGAUCAUAAGCAUCUUAGCACUGAUCAUCAACAUCCUGAAAGAAGCCCCGAACGUCCUCAUCCUGGUACAGGCCGUCAACUCCCUGAAAAGAGCCCCGAACGUCAGCAACCUGACACUGACAAUCAACACCCUGAAAGAAGCCCUGACCAUAAGCAUCUUAGCACUGACCGUCAACAUCCUGAAAAGAGCCCCGAACGUCAUCAUCCUGGUACAGACCGUCAACUCCCUGAAAAGAGCCCCGAACGUCAGCAACCUGACACUGACCAUCAACACCCUGAAAGAAGCCCUGACCAUAAGCACCUUAGCACUGAUCGUCAACAUCCUGAAAGGAGCCCCGAACGUCAUCAUCCUGGUACAGACCGUCCACAUUCUGAAACGAGCCCCGAACGUCAUCAUCCUGGCACAGACAGACAGCAUCAUGAAAGGAGCCCAGAACGUCAUCAUCCUGGUACAGACCGUCAACACCCCGAAAGAAGUUCUGACCGUAAACAACCUGGCACAGACCAACAACACUCUGAAAAAAGCCCUGACCGUAAGUAUCCUAGCACUGACCGUCAGCACCCUGAAAGAAGCCCUGACCGUAAGCAUCCUAGCACGGACCGUCAAUAUCCUGAAAGGAGCCAGUCACCAGUCAAAAAAUCAGUACAGGAAACUUCUCUCAAGAAAAUGAAAACAUCCGAUGAAAAAACAGAAAGAAGAGAUUCUUCCAACAGAAGUACAAAAACUAAAGAAACAACGACACUCGCGAGGCAGGACAAUUUUUCAGUUACAAGACGAAAUACACAAAAACCUAUUUGCAAUGACUCAAAACCAAGAAAUACGUCAAAUGUACCUCUGGUCAAAAAACCGAUAGUUGCUUCAAAACAUUUCACACCAGAACGCAAAUCGACUUUAUCGAAACACACAACUAAGGUAGUUACUUCUUCAAGAUUAGAGCAGAAUACAUCUCCUGAUUCCCCAACUAGAAGACAUCCAGUAUCUCCAACCGUUCAACGGAAAACUGCUCAAUCUAGGCAACUCAUUCAAGCAAGAAAAGUACCCACGUCGUCUCAUAGACCUCAAACGACCCAACCAACGACGACGAAAACCACUAAUGCGUCACCUUCUACACUUUCCAAAACAACAAGCACUUCAAUCCAAGAAACAACAAAAAUAUUGCUCGGAAGAAAGAGGGAAGAUACAACGACAAAGAAACGGCCGUCAUUCGAAGGCGGUAAGACGGAAUCGCCCAAACCGAAGGUUUCAAUUCCUCGCUCGGUUCCCCAAAAAUCGAAACUUGUCGAUACGAGUUCUCGCCCAGCACAGAAACCACAAACAGAGACUUUUAACAAGCCACAAAGAAGAGUUGUUCCAUCUCAAGUUAAACUGCAAAGCAAAGACACAGGCAAGACUGCCAUAUUGACAACAAGGGAAACGCACAGAACGGAAACGCAAAAUUUUUUAAAGAACGAAGCUAAGAGCGUUUCCGAUUUGGAAGACGAGACACCUCCGGAAGAAUUUUAUGGAGAUUUAGACGACGAAUUUGAUUCUUCUAUCCAGAAAAGUAUGAGUACAUCUGCUACUCAGGUAAAAGUGCGAAACGAUGUUUACUAUAAUGCCAAGAAGGAUCAAACUCACGAACUCGAUUCGAGAAACAGUUCUGUUCUGUCAAUGGAAGAAGAUUCUCCCACGAAACCCAAAUCUCAACCGUAUAAAAAAGAACCAUCCUUGAAAACAAAAGUGAAUCAAGAUUUGUUAAACGUUGUUGUGCAGCAUCCGAAGUCGUCAAGGGAAUCGUCGCCGGGUUAUUCAAGCACUGCCGAUAAUUUUGCAGUCACGACGAGCGAUGACGGAGAAAGCAACCCUAGAUACGCCGAUUUCGUUAGCGAGCCUGAAGAUGUUGAAGUAUUCGACAAACUGACUGGGCCAUCCGGUCCUAUUCCGUACAGCCACCGAAUCAACGACGAUGUUGGCGAUGAGAACGAUGUUCCAAAGAGUGUAGCUGAGAAAGUCAGUGUUUUCUUAAACGAAGCUAAAAAAUCUUUAGAAACCAAGGUGACAGGCAACCAAGUCCUUAUCGACAAUUCCAACUCCGUCUCCAAAGCGAAAACACUAUUUGAAAAAGUAACCAAGACUGAAAACGACGAGAAAAAGCACCAUUUGAUUGAAGAUUUUGUAGAUCGCCCGGGGAAAAAAACAAAAACCGAUUCUUCAUACUAUGAGACUCACAAAAUCACCGAGCACGUUGACGAUACAGCUGAAGGAGAAUUUGACCUUGCUGUAAACAGUCUACCGCUGAAAACCAGCAAUGAAACGGACUACCGGCAGGAAUUGAAAGAAACAACAAAAUCUUCCCGCAAAGACACUCCUGUACCUAAACCUCUGGGAAAGACCUUCUUACGAAAUGAAAACCGCAAAUUCAUCGAGAAAGAAUCGAUAGGCGCCAAAACCGAUGUCAGCACGAAGAAAUCAUUUUUUGAAAAUAAAGCGGAAGAACAAAAGCAUCCAAGAAAGCCGAAACAAGAACCAUCGUCUUACGCGAAAGACACCCAAGCGAGCACAGUGCGUUCCCGGUCUCCGGAUAAGGUGCAUAGCAAUGAGCAAAGGAGGAAAUCUUCCGUAACAACUGAAGAUGUAUCUGCAAUGGAAAGAAGGCAGUUCAAAUCUGAAGUAACUGUCAAAACAAUUACCAAAUUACACGAACCAACAUCUAGUUUCGAUAGAAACGAUUCAGACAAAUCUAUUUCCUCGAGAAGAUCUUCAAAGCCUGGAGAAAGAACACCCUGCCUUCCUAAAUACCAGGAAAGCACAAAACAACCUGAACGAAGGGGUUCAAGUCCUACAAAAGGUUACGAUACGGAGAAAACUAUUGGCUCUCCAAAAGUGACAAUGCAUUACGAAACCACUGAAAAAUACGAAUCACAUACCACCACUCAAAAUGUAAAUGAUACUCCGCGAAAAACCGGGCCGCAUGCUGCUUUUCCGACGAAAUCGUAUGAAACGUCUAGAAAAACCGACCAUACUACGUAUUCUCAUUCUGGAGCAUACGACAGUCCUAGGAGCGCCGAGCCGCAUGCCUUGAGUCCACAAUCUUACGUGACUUCAAGAACAAUCGGACAUACAUACCCUCAUUCUGGAGAAGUCGACAGUCCUAGGAACGCUGAGCCCACUGCCUCGAGUCCAAAAUCCUACGAAAUGUCCAGAGAAACCGAGUAUACUACCUCUACUCAUUCUACACCAUACAACAGUCCUAGAAACACUGAGCCCCAUACCUCGACUCUAAAAUCUUACGAUAGUGCUAGAACUACAACCACUCAUUCGAGAAAAUUCGACAGUAACAGAAAAACGGAGCCUCGUGCCCCCAGUCCGUCGAAGUCCUAUGACAGACCCUGGAAAUCUGAGCCCCGUGCCACCAGUCCGCCAAAGUCCUAUGAGAGUCCCAGGAAAUCUGAACCCCGCUCGUCCAGCCCACCGAAGUCCUAUGAUAGACCCUGGAAAUCUGAGCCCCGUGCCUCCAGUCCGCCAAAGUCCUAUGACAGUCCCAGGAAAUCUGAACCCCGCUCGUCCAGCCCACCAAAGUCCUAUAACAAACCCUGGAAAUCUGAGCCCCGUGCCACCAGCCCGCCAAAGUCCUAUGACAGUCCCAGGAAAUCUGAACCCCGCUCGUCCAGCCCACCAAAGUCCUAUGACAAACCCUGGAAAUCUGAGCCCCGUGCCACCAGCCCGCCAAAGUCCUAUGACAGUCCCAGGAAAUCUGAGCCCCGUGCCUCCAGUCCGCCAAAGCCCUAUGACAGUCCCAGGAAAUCUGAGCCCCGCGCCUCCAGUCCAUCUAAAUUAGGUACAAAAUCCUACGAGAGUUCUUUAAAAUCAGAAAAUGUCGGAGAACAAACUGUGAGAAGCUACGUAAAAACCUCCGAUAGUGUCUUACAGCGAACAUCGAAACCUGAAAACGAUGUGAAAACAUUGUCAAAAUCCCUCAACGACAGCACAAUCUUCAAACAGAAUGAGACUGUUCUUCAGAAAACAAAAACAGAAGAAAAAUUUGGUGUACAACUUAGAAAAACUCCUUCAGCGAAUAAAUUCGACACCAUAACCGUAAGACUUAAAAGUUCAACAAGUGAAGCCCCCGCAAUAGAAAAUAUAUAUGAUUUGGAACUUCUUGAGCAAAUGCUAAUUAAGGCCGAGGCUUACGAAGAAAGAAGAAGAAUAAGAGCCCAAAUAAGAUUGGUGAAGAAAGAACUCGAGGAACAGCACAAUAGCAUCACAAGAUCUACAAGCGUUCAGACACGAACACAUGAAGUCAAAUCGCACACAUCUUCGAGUAGAGAUGAACAUACUUCAAGGAGAAGCGUCAAAGAGCCGAGCCCCGAACCUAAGAUGUCUUUGACGAAACCCUCUUACAACACACGCGUACAGAACAAGGAAGAAGAUAAAGAAAAAACUGUCCCUAAGAGAUCUUACUCCGAAAGGCCCAAGUCGACCCACUCGCCCGAUCAUACUUCCGUUAAAACCGUUACAACAACCACAACAAUUCGUGAGAAGUCUGAUUCAUUCAGUAGAUUGUCUCCCGAAGAAAGAACCGUCUGCACUUACGAAGUGAAAAGCCAACCGGUCGACUCGUCGUUUUUGUUUCAGAAAUCGACGGAGCCUCCACAGCCUGAAAAAUCAUCUAAUUUGAAAAAAACCUCGUAUGAACAGAGGAAGACGACCACGACGUCAACCACCACUACAAACACGGUAACGGACCCGAUAACGUCUUCUUAUGGCAUGGGCCCGAUUGACGAACACGGAAAACCACUUUUUGGACUGAGAGCACUCAGAAGAACUCAUCAGGAUCAAACACCAGCAAACGAUGAUUUGGCCAGAACUGAGACAGUGACUUACAAUACCUACACUCUCACGACCAGUGAUUUCGACGAGCCGGCGAACCUCGCCAGCCUGAAGACGAUGUCGAAGGUCGACAGAGAAUUCUCCGGUCCCGAGAUCGUAGAGGUGAGCAACGACGAUUCCGCUUACUCAGAAGACACGAGAAGGACGUCGAAGGAAUACACCGUCGAGGAGGUCUCGGAACUGGACGGCUACCUGAGCACAGGGCUGAAAUCUGAAAAUAUAAAAAGGUUCACUUCCCACUUGCAGAACCUGGAGAAUUCGCAGACUGAAACAGGACAUGAAGAAGAGACGAGGCGGCCUUUGGUGAGAGGCGAUUCUGUCAAAGCUCUGCAACACAAAUACCAACAGGCUACAGAAGCCGCUAACCAAACAUGUGGAGGAAGUUCAUACCCUAAGGCUGGUCUCAUCCUUCGUUCUAACAGUCUCCAACAUUCCGAUGAUCCAAAUCAAUCGUCGUCAUCGAUGAGAAAGACGAAGACGGAAACAGUGGAGACUACGAGACGUGUGUUGCACAGCUCCUACGGUGGAGGCGGCGGUGACAAACAAGUCGUCGUCAAGGCUCAGAUGUCAGAACAAGUGGAAGACUCUUCGGGGCUUAAGUCUGCCCGUCAAGUUCAAGGUGUCAAGGCGAUGACGACCACUAUGACCAAAGACGGUCCUGUCGAGAAGUCAUCUUCGGCUGUGCGGGUCACCACCUCUGGAGGUGGCACCUCUAGUACCACAACGACAACCUCCUUCCUCGACAACAACGCCAAAGUAACGGGUGUGCAAGAUAUACUGUCCAGAAUGAGAAAUGCAGACCUUGUUACAGAAACAGACGACACUGAAGAAGAUGCAAAGGCAAGGGCUUUACUUAAUAAAUUCCUCGGCGCCUCUGUCAUUCUCCAAGGGAUGGAGCAAGGCAUGAGGCACUCCGCGAGUCAGCAAAAGAGCGCAGCCCUUGUUGGCGAAGUCGACAAACAACUGGUGAAAGCCACUACUCGAACGAGAGAAGAAAACAUCGAAGAAAUCUGCGAUAAAGACCAAUUAAAAUUUCUUUUGGAUUCUUGCAGCGAUCUCGAAGAUAAGAGAAAAUUACGAGCCCGGCUACGAGAAGUGAUGGCAGAAGAUAAAGAACAUACUGAAUUAGAACAAACCGAAGGCGAUGGAUUUUCUAGGGCUAAGGUUCACACCCGAGUCACGUCUUCUACUGCAAAAUUGACAAAAGCAAACAGCGUGCAAUCCCCAUUUGCUAAAUUCAAGCAGUUGGAGCGACAAAACUCAGCCCCCAGAACGUCCAAAUAGAUAAUUUCUCUACAAGUUGGAGCGACGGACUUGCUUUCUGUGCACUCAUCCAUCAUUUUUGCCCUGAUGCUUUUGACUUCGCCAUCCUCACACCAGACAAAAGGAGGCACAACUUCGAGCUCGCAUUCAGAGUCGCUGAGGAAAAAGCAGACAUUUAUCCACUUCUUGAUGUUGAGGACAUGGUGACAAUGAGAAAACCAGAUUGGAAAUGUGUCUUUACAUACGUCCAGUCAAUUUAUCAGAAGCUCCAUGAUUCUCCGUUGUCUGUUCCAACUAAUCCUUACCUUUGAUCCACAAGUCUCCGUAUUUAUAUUUUUAAAAUUCUUAGUUGAUUUAAUAAUAUUUGAUGUUAUGUGUGAGGAUGAAGUCUUAAGUAAGUUAUUUAAGUACUAACCUGAAAUUAAUUUUUGACGUCGCUCCAAUUGUUCUUGCUUUGUAUUCCACAUUUAAAACAUAAAUGUUCGCUUAAAUGUAAUUUAUUAUGUACCAUUCUUUGAAUUCUAUGCAUUAUUUUAGUUAAAUGUUAAAAGGAGCUAGUGUAGUUGUCAGAUUUGUUCAAUUAUGAAGGUGAUAUCCUUUAUAAAUGAAAAUUCAUGAUCCUUUGCUCCCAUUUCUAGUUACAAAAAUCUUAAAUGUCUUUCAUCUGGUGUUUAAGAAAAUGCGUUGCCCAUUGAAAUUAAUUGUUUAUAUUUUUAAUUACUGCUUUUAUCUCUUCAAAAAAUUAGCUUUGUUUAAAUUUUUAAUAUUUAAUCUCUAUCCUAGCCCCUAGGUGAUAAAAGAAAGAAACCACUAAAAUAUUGUUGCUUUACUUUUUUUUAUAUUGUAAAUACAAAUACAUACUACAAAUUUUAACAAAACCUAUAUAAAAAAAUUAAUUGGACCUUAAUUUGUGAUCCAAAUUUGUUGCUUUUAUUGCUGUGAUGGAAUAUUUUGAAAUAUAUAAUACAUGUUUAUUUUA